AAACAUUCUCCAUUUCUUCUCUUUUACUCAUUUUGUAUUGAUAUGGGGGUCCUCACUGUGUAGGCCUGAAGCUCAUCACCGAAAAGAUGAUGGCUUUAAAUGUGAAGCAAUCCUCCUACCUCAGCCUCCAAAUGCUGGGGUUAUAGGCGUGCGCCACCACACCCAGCACUGUUUCAGUUAAACCAAGUUUCCUUUUUUUUUUCCUUCUACUCUGAAGAAUAGGGAAUAAUUGGGAGUCGCUGUGAAGCUGCGUCCAAGAGGCAGGAGGCGCUGGUGAUGGAAAAGUGUGGCCGCCUGCAGGAGCACCUGGAGAAGUUUGAGAACAUUCGGCAUCAUCUUCAGCGACUUCCAGCCCAGCAACCAGGGACAGCAGGAAGUUCCAAAUAUCCCAUCCUCCAGCCCCACUCACCAAGCUGCACAUGGAAACAGUGCAAGGUAAAACAGACAAGCUUUUCUUUAAUUCUUUUCCCUAUAGACUAG
rnacentral:lncRNA from 1 species